UACGUAGGGUGCAAGCGUUAAUCGGAAUUACUGGGCGUAAAGCGUGCGCAGGCGGUUUUGUAAGACUGUCGUGAAAGCCCCGGGCUCAACCUGGGAAUUGCGAUGAAGACUGCAAGGCUUGAAUCUGGCAGAGGGGGGUAGAAUUCCACGUGUAGCAGUGAAAUGCGUAGAGAUGUGGAGGAACACCGAUGGCGAAGGCAGCCCCCUGGGUCAAGAUUGACGCUCAUGCACGAAAGCGUGGGGAGCAAACAGG
rnacentral:rRNA from 1 species